UGGAUGGGGUGGGUGAUGGUGGUAGUGGAGGUAUAUAAUUUUCAGUCGUUCUAGAACCUUCCAUGUACAGGCCGCUACAAAAGUCAUUUCAAAAAAAUAUUGAAUUAUUUUCGAACUUUGUGACUUAUCCAGUCUCCGAGUCACCUUAGUUGGUUUUUGUGCUAGCAUUAAGCCCAUUUUGUUUCCUUAUGGCAGCAUAGGGACUUACGUCUAUCUGGCAAUUAAUUAUACAGGUUUCAUGAACUAAAUUGUAGGUUUCAACAUGACAAUGAGCAAGCGGGAUGUUUAACGCAAACUCUUUCUAUUCCCUUCAAGAUGCUUUAAUCCCUCAUGGAUUAAAGCAUCUUGAAAAGGAUUACUAAGAUUUCGUAGUCCACAGGUGGCUAAUAAAUCAUUCAUUUUUCUCAAACAUUUUGUCAGCAACAGUACUUAGUACCUAGUACUAUUAAUAUCACCUAUGUGAAAUGAAGUAUCGAUCGAGACCUGCGCGUUGCAUUCAGGCCGCGACUAUUUAUAUCCGGGUGCAGCGCCGUCCAUCCCUCAUUCUGACGACAGCCACGGCUGGGGCCGUGCCUCCUCUGGCGUUCUGCUGAUACCAAGACGGAGAGCGACCUCACCUGACACUCUGGAGUACACCUUUCCGAGUGCGGCGGAUCGCCGCCACCUUUGACCAAGGUCUUUCCCGGUCAGCGUACAGCCAUGGUGAUGCAGCACCAGAUCCACCCAUGGCCGGACAGAAUUGGCUAGAUUAAAGGAUACUAAUGUUACUUGGACUUACAAAUUACUCAUGCUCUAACUAACUUGAGUAAUUCGUGAGUACUGAGUUAGUGGGGGGCGGCAGCGAACUACGAUUAGUAAUAAGUAGUUUGUGGAAGCCGAAGUUAUCAUAAAUUACUUAUUGUUGACACAAUAAAUAAUUUAUGGAAGCCGAGGUGGACACGAGCUACUUAUUAUUUAAAAAGUAUUUCGUGUAUGCACAGGCGAUGUUGAGGCGUAAUGUUAAAAUUUAGCGUAAGCCUUUGAAGCUAUGCCAUUGACAUUGUAUUUCUACUUUGCGAUCUUGAUGCAUAGCUUUACAUGUAGAUAUAAGUAUCUUUACCUACUUAAGAAAGUUUCUUUUAGGUAGGUAUGGAUAAUAUUUAUAAGUAGAUAUAAUAUCAAGUGUGUGUUUCCAUCUCCACUAUUUAAGGUUAAACUUUUAAGAUCUCCCCUUAAGAAAUGGCAAACUUGGAAGUUAUACUCAAGAAAAGGCAAAGUUGAAUCUGCCAUAAGUACAUUACAAUGCCCCACGGGACGUUUUAUAUGUCCCACAAAUUGCUAGGGUAACGACGAUUAUGUAAGGUCUAGAUGUCCAAAUAGACCUUACAUACCCCGGACAUGACGUACUCGGACUUGACACUAAAAUAAGAAGACCUUUAAUCAUGAAACGGAAGAAGUUCACUUAUUGUAUCCGGAGAGACAAUAUCAAUAUGUAUUUAUAUGAAUUAUCUAUUUUAUGAGAUUUUUUUGAGACCGCCGUGAGGAGUUUAAUACCUUUUUUUAAUAUGUAUUAUUAUAAAUAAAAAUAGUAUAUCAAUAAAAACCCCAAAAAUGUAACUGCUUGUUUUCUUUAGUAACCUUGAUUAAAUGCCACCCAAUUACAAAAUAUUAUAUGUGCUUAAGCUUGGAGAGCCCUCCUGAACAUAGAUUUCUUUUAAAAAAAUGGUCACAUCUUCAUCUUUAUCACUUCAGACUUCUUAAAGCAUGACUGUUGCAGUUGUGACAGCAGCAUCUCUCUUUCUCGCUUUGCUAGCACGCUUCUACAAUGGCAAGAGUUUUACUUUUAAGUAUUGUGACGUAGUGAGCCGUCGAGCAAUACUAAC